GUCGAACGGAAAGGCCCUGCUUUUGUGGGGUGCUCGAGUGGCGAACGGGUGAGUAACACGUGAGUAACCUGCCCUUGACUUUGGGAUAACUUCAGGAAACUGGGGCUAAUACCGGAUAGGAGCUCCUGCUGCAUGGUGGGGGUUGGAAAGUUUCGGCGGUUGGGGAUGGACUCGCGGCUUAUCAGCUUGUUGGUGGGGUAGUGGCUUACCAAGGCUUUGACGGGUAGCCGGCCUGAGAGGGUGACCGGCCACAUUGGGACUGAGAUACGGCCCAGACUCCUACGGGAGGCAGCAGUGGGGAAUAUUGCACAAUGGGCGGAAGCCUGAUGCAGCAACGCCGCGUGCGGGAUGACGGCCUUCGGGUUGUAAACCGCUUUCGCCUGUGACGAAGCGUGAGUGACGGUAAUGGGUAAAGAAGCACCGGCUAACUACGUGCCAGCAGCCGCGGUGAUACGUAGGGUGCGAGCGUUGUCCGGAUUUAUUGGGCGUAAAGGGCUCGUAGGUGGUUGAUCGCGUCGGAAGUGUAAUCUUGGGGCUUAACCCUGAGCGUGCUUUCGAUACGGGUUGACUUGAGGAAGGUAGGGGAGAAUGGAAUUCCUGGUGGAGCGGUGGAAUGCGCAGAUAUCAGGAGGAACACCAGUGGCGAAGGCGGUUCUCUGGGCCUUUCCUGACGCUGAGGAGCGAAAGCGUGUGGAGCGAACAGGCUUAGAUAC
rnacentral:rRNA from 1 species